CUACGGAGGGUCCAAGCGUUAUCCGGAUUCAUUGGGUUUAAAGGGUCCGCAGGCGGGAAAAUAAGUCAGUGGUGAAAGCCUACAGCUCAACUGUAGAACUGCCAUUGAUACUGUUUUUCUUGAGUAUAGAUGAAGUGGGCGGAAUAUAUCAUGUAGCGGUGAAAUGCAUAGAUAUGAUAUAGAACACCGAUUGCGAAGGCAGCUCACUAAACUAUUACUGACGCUCAGGGACGAAAGCGUGGGGAGCGAACAGGAUUAGAAACCCCUGUAGUCC
rnacentral:rRNA from 1 species